UACGAAGGGGGCUAGCGUUGCUCGGAAUUACUGGGCGUAAAGGGCGCGUAGGCGGAUGUCUAAGUUGGGGGUGAAAGCCCGGGGCUCAACCUCGGAAUAGCCUUCAAUACUGGAUAUCUUGAGUUCGGGAGAGGUGAGUGGAAUGCCGAGUGUAGAGGUGAAAUUCGUAGAUAUUCGCAAGAACACCAGUGGCGAAGGCGGCUCACUGGCCCGAUACUGACGCUGAGGCACGAAAGCGUGGGGAGCAAACAGG
rnacentral:rRNA from 1 species